GACGUAGGGCGCGAGCGUUGUCCGGAUUUAUUGGGCGUAAAGAGCUCGUAGGCGGCUUGUCGCGUCGAAUGUGAAAUUUUAGGGCUCAACCCUGACAUUGCAUUCGAUACGGGCAGGCUUGAGUUCGGUAGGGGAGACUGGAAUUCCUGGUGUAGCGGUGAAAUGCGUAGAUAUCGAGAGGAACACCUGCGGCGAAGGCGGGUUGCUGGGCUGAUACUGACGCUGAGGCGCGAAAGCCAGGGGAGCGAACGGG
rnacentral:rRNA from 1 species